AGACUGCCGCAACUUGCAAGUUCCAGACACGAGAAGCAAUCUCUCCUUUUUGAUCAUUUAAGAAAAUUCCUUGGAAGCACCACCACUGCACUGGAUAGAGGCACCUGCAAUGGCAUUGGGGCACCCGUCAUUCACAAAUCUCAUGUAAGUAACUGAGCACAAUCUUCACACAACUCAAUUUGGGAUUUGGUUCAGGUUUAAUACAUGCAUUACCUAUGUUAUAUGCUAUAUCUAAUAAUCUCAAUUCUUCAAAAUUCAAAUAUGGAGCUAGAUUCGAAACAACUGUAAUGGAAACUGUAACCAAGUCUAGGAAUUCUUAAGCCCGUUCAGACAGAAACACGGACAUCUUUCUAUGAAUAUGUUGUUUAUUGCUAACUGAUUUGAGAGUUCACUUACUUGGGAAAAAAACUGUUACUGAGAUCCUUAUCUCCAAACAGUUAUCUGAUCAAUAAUUCGCUGCCACACAUUUCUGCAAUUCCCGAUCCAAUAGAUUGCUCAUGCCACUUCAGUAAAUCCUUUAACACUGACAUAAUAUGUAAUAAAUAAGAAACUGAAAUGGACUAUCAUGACAUCAAACUUUUAGAAGUUAAAACUAAAACUAAGAGCAGUGAAGCAAUGAUAAAAAUGGCAUGCAUAUUGGAGGUAGUUGAAGUAAACUACAAUAUCCUAGAAGAUAAUAUAUGGUCUAUGCAUUCAUUAAAUUCAUAUGUAGCUUAUCCUCAAUUGUCUUCAGAGGCCAGAAAGAGGUUGAGAGCAGAACCAACUCAGGGAGAGUAGAAUAGCGUGGAACAGAAAAAGAAGGGGAGAAAUAAACAGAAUAGUAUUUUCAUUCAUUAGAUCAUUUGAAACAUAACUUUGACAUCGCAACUGUAUCAUGACCAAGCCUUUAACAUCAAAACUGUCUGCAUUUCUAUAAUUGUGUACAACAAUUUUACCCAAACAACUUGUUCUAACUAAAGUACAAUAGGAGAAGAGAGGCUCAACAGACAAAGACUAUUGCCCCGAUUAGAUAGGAUAGAGCCGAAAUUAGCGAUUAGGCAUAGAUUCUAGUAUCAGUAUAAUCAUCAACACAAGGGCGUAAUGACAUUGGACUAAACAAAAACUCACCACUCUAGAGGAUUACAAAGGGAUACAGAGAAUUCACCAUCUAGUGAGUCCUACAAGAUAUACAUCGCUUCCUAACCCACCACUUUAAGAAAUCCACCUAAAAAAUAUAGAGUUUAAAGAAGGAACUUUAAACAAGACCAUUCUUUUAAGUUACACUCUCAAAAUCACACACAUUAUUCUAAAAUCACUGCCUAUUACCUUUACAUAAACAACUUAGAACAUCCCUCGAAGCUUAGGACAUGAUCUCUUUCAUUUUAGAACUUAAAUCAAAUUAAAAUUAAAGAUCUUAGUUGUAAUGAGAUGAAAGAGAACAAAACAAAACACAAUUUGACUUCAAAUUUGGUUUCAACAACAAAUCUGAGUAGUUUAACACUCAUUCAAUCACAUUUUGAUGUAGAAAACUUCAAAUCGAACAUUCUAAAAUCCAUUAAACUCCGGACUCACUGAACUUUCCAGUGAUAUAACGCUUGUUAAUCAAUUCUUGAAGCAUUGAUGCUAGUAAAUUCAAAACUUUCAGCCUUGUGCAGAAUUUCUGACGGUUAUAACCUUUGUUGGCAAAAUCUUGAAUAUCUUUAAGAAAAGAAAUUUGAAUUUGACUUCGUAAGAUUCCACAGAAACUUGGCAAAUUUAUCUUUUCAACAAUAUAGAAUACACAAUUUAACUAUUUUUUAAAACAGUACAGUUAAUUUGAGGAAGUAUAGUGUUAAUCUUGAUUUUUGCUUCCCACAUUGACUAACCUGGCCACAUGCAUGUUCCCAUUCUACUUCAUUGUCAAUCUUCAAACAUGAAGAGUCUCUAAACACUCCUGUGUCACGUAAUCACCAGGAAAAAUAGACCUCGGGCUUAAAGAGACAAACUUCCAAUAAUUGAAAUUUCAACAAAAUCCAAAUUGUUCAAGAACCCAACAUAAAUCUACUCAAUUAUAUUACCAUGCUGUAUACAUGUGCAAGGUAAGCACAAAUAAUGAAGGAGAUAGUCUUAAUCGAGAGGCAUCUAUUAAUUGGUCAUUCCGAUCUCCUAAUUCUACCGAAAGUAUUAGCCAAUUCAUGUCCUUAAAAACCCAGGAAGGACAAGAAAAUAUAUUCAUACCCUAAAUUCAUUUUAAAUGCUUGAAGAUACAUCUCCAGGCAGAUCAAAUACCAAUUAUACCUAACUGAAACCAAGUGGAAGGACAAACUCAAAAGAAAAACAUUGAAAAUUUAUCAUUCUUAUUCAACAAAAGACAUUAAACCUAACAAAAACAAAAGUUAUCACUCAUUUCCAACUCAACUCAGUUAAAACCCUAGCCCCAUCUACACAGAGACAAUUAACAGUGUGGUGAGUAUUAUCCACUAAGAACUUAUCUAAUUACCUGAGAUUUUGAAAUCCACCAAAUGGGAUCUGAGAAGACCUUCUUCUUUCUUCUUCAGUGGCCAGAAAAGCUAAAGGCAUAAAUAAAUAAAUAUUUUAAAAAUAAAAUGCAACAGAUACCAAGGCUUCAAACUAAGCUUGCAACCUUGUUUAUCAUUUUACCCCUUCAUUUUGUAAACAAUGAUCUAAAUGAACCACAGAUAAAAAAUAAGAAACAUGUAAUUAUGCAGCAAAAAUCAGAACUACAAACAGUUACCAAGCAGGCAAGACUACAAAUUAAAUUGCCCAUCUAUAGAGCAAUUCUCUGUAUUACCCAAGAGCAAUUUUCUUGAUCCUUUGGCUGCUUCAUUUUCCAAGGAUAGCAAAUACAGUUUGAAACUCUAUGUUCUUGGGCUUUACCCAGCAAUUUCUUCCAAAAAUAUCCACCGCCUCUCAUAACAUCCAGAUUUUUUCAUAUAAUUGUUUAGUAACUAUAUUCUAUUAUUUCAUUUCGUAGAUCAAUAAAUUAUAUUAUUUAUUUACUGCAAAGACCAGAAUUCACUGUUUAGCCCAUCAGUUCAUGCAUUGUUCCACACAUAUGACCUAAAAGGAUAAGACAUCGCCUUCCUUUUGUCUGUAGAUGAGAGAGAUUAUUUGAUAAUAAUAUAUGUUAUGUCUAAUAUCGUCAAGAGUCAAAACACUAAAUUUAUCUUUAACUAAUUUCAUUUAAAACUAGUUGCAAUAUACUUACUGAUUAUGUUGAAUCACAAAAGGGUUCAUGCGUCAGAUCUGUAAGAUCCUUGCAUUCAGCUUCAAAGCCUGGGCAACUGCCUUGUAUUCUUUAACAGCCAGAUAUAUGAAACAGCAAGUCACUCAAUGUCUUUUUAUUUGCACAAAUAUUAAUUUUCUUUGAAGUUGUUGUUAAAAAUAUUGGAAGGAUCUAAUUAGGCUGAGAAGAAGUCAUUGUUUUAGUUCACAUAAAGAAAUGUCUUCUUACAUUUAGAGAUAUAAAUGAUAAAAUUUAUGAAGCCAUGAAAACGAGAAAAUGCUAAUACUUAUCAAGAUCAGCAAUGUUGAAGAAGAUGUUAAAACUUUUUUUUUUAAUAAUAUAUUACAACUUCACAAAAAAAAAUAAAAAUAAAAAUAAAAAUAAAACUGAAAACAAAUUACAAAUCAACUUAUGGCGACUCCAAUGGUACUCAAAUCAGCUGGCCUCGUCAGACGUGAAAUCUGAAUUAAUGAUAUAACACCCACAUAUUGAUAAUUAAGAACUUAUAAUGUCAGUGCAAGAAACCACAUUACUGUUAUGUUGUAUUUACUUGCUUGAGUUAUAAUAGAGAGUGUAGUUUCCUCAUACUCUAGUGUUCAUUUGCUUAUUUGAGGAGGGUGAGUGUCCCACUUCAUGGGUCCCACUUAUUUUUAAAGUGUCGGGUGGAAUUGUCACUCAUGGGGGGAGGUCGGACUCACUCACUUCUCUUCCUUUUUUAUCAUUUCUUUAUUAAAUAUAAUAUAAUUAUAUUUAUAAAAAAAAUAAUGUUACAAUUACUUAAAAAUAAUAUUAUUAUAUUUAUCUAAAUUAUAUUAUUUAAUAAUAUUACAUUUAUUAAAAAUGAUAAUAUCAAACUUAUUUAAAUAUAAUAUUAUUAUAUCUAGUUAAAAAUAAUAAUUUAUUUAAUCCAAGUUAAAAUCAUGCUAGUGUAAGUAAACAAUUUACUCUCACUCCCACUUCACACUCCCAACCCCAGGAUUUCCAAUCCAAUUCGAGAAAUAAACACUACCUUAGUGAUUUGUCACAAACUUUUAGGACACAAUGAGGAAUUCAACAGCAUAGAAAGAGACUAUUUUCUCUUACAUGUGUAUAUCUCCAAAAAAUAAAAUAAAAAUGAAAGCUUUAAACAUCAUAUCCUGUAGUGCAGUCAUGCCAUGAGGUGAUUCCCAAAUCCUUAGUAUCUUGUCAAAAAUCAAAGAAAAAUUAAACUAAGUUAUAUUUAUUGCUCAGAAGACGCUUUUAAGGCAUAUCUACACUUUAAUUUAAUAGAAAUUAACGUAAUAACCAAAGUAAAAAGAAGCAAAUGCAUUGGUCCAAUUGACAAAACCUCAAGUGGUACUAGAGGUCGGAGAGGGUUUGGGUUAUAUUUAUAUAAUAUUUAGGAGAAAAUUAAUAAAAAAUUAACUAAAAAAGCAACUAGUAGAAAGGAUGAUCUAGAAGGAGACACUUGAGGGGAAUUAUCUCUCACACGUAAAAAAGAUUUUGUUGACCAAAAAAUUAGACUUUCAGAUUUAAUGAUGUAAAUGUAAUAGCAGUCAUUAGUGUAUCAAUCGCAAACAAUUACUGUUGAAUCCAUUUUAGAACUUUCUUGAAAAGAACUUGUCAAGAAAAACUAAGAAAAUAAAAAUCUAUCUCAAUAUAAACCACUCAGAUGUACUUGUCAAAGUUUCAAGUCAGUGGCCAGUUUUACGCUAAUGAUCAUGACUUGCUAGAAUAGGAAGAUGAAUCAUGACUCUAUAGGUUGAUGUCGAAAUUAAUUUGCUAAUCCCAGUAACAUUAGACCCUUAAGGUAUUACUUCCAAAAUAGCAACAACAAUGAGAAGAUUAUGGAAAUUCCUAGAUCAUGAACAACCAUUACAAAGCAAAAGUUUUUAUAGCAAUAUAUCUAAUUUAUAAUUUUAUCAACAUAUUUAAUAUCUUAAAAAGUCAAUAUAUCCUUUUUUUUUCUAAAAUAGAGAAAUGGAAAAUUCAUUCCAUCCAGAAAGAUAAAUCAAACAUCUCAAUGAAAAAUAUUUUGAUCUAUUUACAGAAAAUCUAUCACAGAAACUGGUUGGGAAGACAGUUAAACUCUUACUCAUGAGCUAAACAUGUAAAGAAAUAUACCUUCACCCAAUGUGUACAAAACACGCGUAACAACUCCAUCAAGAAUAUUCACUUACAAAAGCACCCUCUACCUUCAGCGUCGGCUCUACCAACUGAUAGUACAAUUUUUGAAUGGAUUGAUCUACAACCUGUGGUUCUCAGAUCUGAAACUUGGGAAAAGAAAAUAAAAAAAGAGCAUCUUUUAACAUACAAAAUAAAAGAAAAAGGGGAAAAAGCCAUAAAUCUAUAUCUAAAUGGAGAAAAAUCACCAUAGCUCUAGAUAUAUAGAGAGAAUAUGCAUUCACAUAAAAACAAAUAAAAAAGAUAGAAACUGAAAAUAAAAAAACAAAAAUUAAGAAAAAAAAAUCACCAUAGAGUGAUUCUUAUGUUGAUAAUCAUUAAAUUUACAUAACAACAAUUAGUAGAUUAAAAAUAAAUAAAAUAUAAAAUGAGGCCUGCUCAAAGCACACAUAAAUUCAUUAGGAAAAAAAAAUAAAAGCAGUUUUUUUUUAAUAUUUUUUUUCUUUUUAUUAAAUUUUCAUUAAGGACGAAUACGAGAGCAUGCAUAGUUGCAACGGCAUCAUAAACAUUCCUGAAAGGAAAUACAAACAUGAAAUAGGCAAUCACCUUUUUUCCCUAGUUUCUCCUUGGCAACUUAAUGUAUGUAUUACAUCAAAAAGAUCCAUGCAAUAAUUCAAAAUAUAACCAAUAGCCAAGAUUCAACUAUUGCCAUAGCGACUCCAAAUCUUUUGUGAAUGAUCAACAUAUAAUACUAUGACUUUUAUAGGUAAUUGAGGACUGAAUACAUUCUAUAAGAAAUAACAAAAUAGAUAAAAACAAAAUAGAAAGAAAUAUCCCCACAAUAAACUUAACUAGGCACAAAAUAUGAUAGGAAAUAAAAUUUGUUAACUUCCUAAAGCCAUGCGUUAAACAAAUUCAGUUAUACAAAGAAAAGUGCAGAUACUUCUCCUCCUGUAUAAUGCGUUGAAAUACUCGAAUGCAUCAACACAAAUAAUUAGCCAAAAUGUAAAGCAAGCAAAACCUCAAACAUAUGCAUUUAAAAGUCACUUUCCAAUCUAUUGAAUUCAAUCAACCUAGCAGAUGCAAGCAGUACUUUGAGAUUCAUUAGAUUGUACAAGUUACAGAAAAAUUUACUAGUUAACUAUUAAAUCAUAUUGAUUGUAAUUUUGUAGAGCAGUAGAAUGACAUUUGAUGGCUGAACCGCUAACAACAUUUAGUCUAAUUCAACAAACUAUGUGAAAAUACAUUAUCAAGUGAAUUGAGAUCAGAAACAGUACCAAUAAAUUGAAUUAUUAAGUACCCAAAGACAACUUCCUUAUUGUUCCCAGAAGUAUUUGAAGGUAAAUCAACAUUUGAAUCAAGUCAUCUUAGAACAAUGAAAUAAUUUUCCCACAUAAAAUAAAUAUCCAAUACCAGAUGGUACAACAUUUCUUACAUUAUUUAUAAAGAAAUUUCAUAUAAUAAUAUAAUUUAGAUAAGAUAUUGCAAUGGAGUGAUUUCAUAUCCACAAGUAAAAACAACUCAAGAAGAAACUGUGAUGCUAAAGUUGAUAACUAUUUUAAAUUCCAUGUAACAUAUAUUCAAAUAACAACUCUCACAGUCUCGCAACUGUUUCAGAGUUUAAGAAUCUCGAAAAUAUUUAAAUUAACCUGUGAUAAUAGCAAGUAAAGAAAGAGGUCCAAGCAAAAGUAGCAACAGAAUUGUAAGCUAAGCAUAGGCAGCAGCUACAGUGUAAGAGAUGAGAAUUAAAGAAAUUCCAUAAAAUAAACUGGUUCCAGUGCUGCAAGCUUUAAAAAAAAAACUAGCUCUUGAGAAGAAACCCAAACCUAUUGGAUAUGAUUUUUUUCUGAAGAAAAGUUUCUUCAUCCUAAAGGAGUUGAUCUACCUUAAAAGGGUCUUUGCCUCUGCAAAAAAAAAAAAGAAACAAAAAAGGAACAAAUACACACCAUAGCAACUAUGUUAAAGGAACACUAACCUACUGAAAUCAGAGAUUCUUUAUUGAUUUUGAUCCAAUUCAUGUUAAACCAAAGCAAAAGACAAUUUUUUUUGAGAUUUUGACUAUAUUAGGGUUUUUAAACCCAUUAGGGGAAUGAAAAAAAAAAAAAAGGUGCAGGCAACCAGAGGCUCGUUAGAUUCAGGUAAAAAAGAACUCAGAUCAGAAACAAUUCCCGAUCGCGAAUCAUCGCAUGCGCAAGAAAAUAAUAAAAAGGAAACGAAUCAGAUAAAAACAGCAGCAAGAAACCGCCUUAAAAGAGAAGUUUAGUGAGGACCAUUCUAGUUAGUAGAUAAUAACGUGAUUAAUGGUCCCAUGCUAAGCACUGUUAAUUUUGCCGUUAAAUCCGCACAGUAUUAAUCACUAAUCACAUAAAAAUAUAUCAUCAAAAGUCACGCUUUCAAGCUACUAAACAAACAUUUAACUAACAAUAAUAGAAUGCAUAAAAUUAAUCAGAAUUCAAGCUGAGUAAAGUCGAAAAUGAAAUAGAUACACUAUGAGUUAUCAUCACCAUUCAC
rnacentral:lncRNA from 1 species